rnacentral:rRNA from 1 species
UACGGAGGAUGCAAGCGUUAUCCGGAAUUACUGGGCGUAAAGGGUGCGUAGGCGGUCUUUCAAGCCAGAAGUGAAAGGCUACGGCUCAACCGUAGUAAGCCUUUGAAACUGGGAAACUUGAGUGCAGGAGAGGAGAGUGGAAUUCCUAGUGUAGCGGUGAAAUGCGUAGAUAUUAGGAGGAAUACCAGUUGCGAAGGCGGCUCUCUGGACUGUAACUGACACUGAGGCACGAAAGCGUGGGAGCAAACAGGAUUAGAUACCCUGGUAGU